rnacentral:lncRNA from 1 species
AUUUUACUCAGUAAUCUUCCUGCCAAGGUGCCCCAUAGAGUCUUUACAAGCCCUGCCUCCACAAGAAGACUGAGGACUGUCUACCUAAUAACCCAUGGAGCAGCCAAAAUGGCGGCCGUAGAAGACCUGGCCAGGAGAUCUGAGAGAUGGGCUCCGAAGGUUAGAGCAGUAAAUGGCCCUUCCGACGGGCUGAAUUACACGGGGAUACACACGACCGUGAACAAACAGAAAAGCAAAGCCUCUUGCAUCUUUCUCGAGGAACCCCCCCCCCAAUGUCCUCGUUUGAAUCUGGGAGAGAGGACAACUCAGCACACUCGCUUUGAAGAAAUGGCCUCAUUAAAGAAUUUCUUUAAAUAAGCAAAACUCUGAGUUAAUGAAGCCUGUAAUUCUAAAUUCAGUAUUUGAUGGCAAAUGGGAUGUUUUCUUAUAUUCUGCUGCUCAGGAAAGGUUGCAGCUUUAUUACUUUUUAAUGCAGCAUGAAUAGCCCGCCCCCCCCCCAUUCCUUGGGGAACCUGACCCGCCUUUAUAAUUUGUUAUUAAAAAACUGUGCUAUUUUCCUGCAGUUG